AGCCGCAGAUGAAAAACCUUCUGCAGGAUGCUGUCUGAGACCUGCAGCCUUGGAGGACAGAGGAACCCUCAGCUUUCAGAAACUAAUGACAGAUGCAGAAGUUUG